UCCAAUCGAACUCGGAGAUAGCUGGUUCUCCCCGAAAUAGCUUUAGGGCUAGCCUCAUAUUAGAUACCCGGAGGUAAAGCACUGAAUGGCCUAGCGCCCGAGAGGGUAGCGAAGCCUAUCAAACUAAGAAUGCCGGAGUAUUGAUGUAUGGGAGUCAGACAGUGUGAGAUAAAUCUCAUUGUCAAAAGGGAAACAGCCCAGAUCUACAGCUAAGGUCCCAAAUUGUAUCUAAGUGGAAAACGAUGUGGAAAUACGCAGACAACCAGGAUGUUGGCUCAGAAGCAGCCACUCAUUUAAAGAGUGCGUAAUAGCUCACUGGUCGAGCGUCUCUGCGCGGAAAAUUUAACGGGGCUAAGAUACAAACCGAAGCUUAGGCUGCAUCGUAAGAUGCGGGGUAGGGGAGCGUUGUGUAAGCGGAGAAACAGUAGCGUAAGCGGCUGUGGAGUUUACAGAAGUGAGAAUGCCGGAAUGAGUAGCGCGAAUGUGGUGAGAAUCCACAUGGCCGGAAACCUCAGGUUUUUGGAGGAAGGUUCGUCCGCUCCAAGUUAGGCGGGAGCUAAGGUGAGGCCGAAAGGCGUAGCCGAUGCACAGACGGUAGAGAUUCCGUCCCCACCGAAAGAUUUAAGCACAGGGACACUUUUAGAAGGUCGGAGCCAGGUGUUGGUUCUGGUAGUGAUCGAGGGAAAUUUAGUACCGAAGUCUGGCUGGAUAAGAGGCGAGAAAAGCUGUGUGUAUAUCUAAGGUGCCCGUACCGCAAACCGACACAGGUAGGUAGGAAGAAGAUUCUAAGGCCAACGGGAGAAGGGUUGUUAAGGAACUCGGCAAGUUGACCCCGUAACUUCGGAAUAAGGGGUGCUCACGAGAGUGAGCCGCAGAGAAUAGGCCCAGGCAACUGUUUACCAAAAACACAGGUUUGUGCUAAAUCGAAAGAUGACGUAUACGAGCUGACGCCUGCCCGGUGCUGGAAGGUUAAAAGGAGAUGUGCAAGCAUUGAAUUGAAGCCCCAGUGAACGGCGGCCGUAACUAUAACGGUCCUAAGGUAGCGAAAUUCCUUGUCAGGCAAGUUCUGACGCGCAUGAAUGGUAUAAUAAUUUGGGCGCUGUCUCGACAGCAGACUCGGUGAAAUCUUAUUACCUGUGAAGAUGCAGGUUACCCGCGACUAGACGGAAAGACCCCAUGGAGCUUUACUACAGCUUACCAUUGGGCAGGCGAUGCGCAUGCGCAGAAUAGGUGGGACGCUUUGAUCCCGGGGCCUUGGCCUCGGGGGAGCGGGCGGUGAGAUACCACUCUUGCGCGUUGCCUGUCCUAACGCGCGCCUUCACCGGGCGGCGGACAGUGGUUGGCGGGUAGUUUGACUGGGGCGGUCGCCUCCCAAAAGGUAACGGAGGCGCUCCAAGGUACCCUCAGCACGGUCGGAAAUCGUGCCUCGAGUGCAAUGGCAUAAGGGUGCUUGACUGCGAGUCCUACAAGACGAGCAGGGACGAAAGUCGGACAUAGUGAUCUUGCGGUCCCGGAUGGAAGGGCCGUAACUUAACGGAUAAAAGCUACCCUGGGGAUAACAGGCUGAUCUGGUCCAAGAGUUCACAUCGACGACCAGGUUUGGCACCUCGAUGUCGGCCCAUCACAUCCUGGAGGGGAAGUACCUUCCAAGGGUUUGGCUGUUCGCCAAUUAAAGUGGUACGCGAGCUGGGUUCAAAACGUCGUGAGACAGUUUGGUCCCUAUCUGUCGUGGGCGCAGGAGGUUUGAGCGGAGUAGUCCCUAGUACGAGAGGACCGGGAUUAACGGGGCGACGGUACGCCGGUUGUCACGCCAGUGGCACGGCCGGGUAGCCGCCCCCGGAGCGGAUAAGCGCUGAAAGCAUAUAAGCGCGAAGCCAACCGCGAGAUGAGACCUCCCAUCCGAAAGGAGUAAGGGCCCCCCUACGUCAGGGGGUCGAUAGGGCGCAGGUGUAAGCGCGGCGACGCGCUGAGCCGAGCGCUACUAAUAGCCCGAGGGCUUAAUUU
rnacentral:rRNA from 1 species